AAUGCCCCUGCAAAUGUCAGCGAACUAAGGCAACACUGUAAAGAAAAGUGGGCCAAUAUCCUCCACAAUGAUGUGAGAGAUUGAUAAAUAUUGAAGAUUUGUGUGUCAUGUUACUGCUGCUAAAGGUGUUUCCAUAAGCUACUGAAGCAUGGGGUGCACUUAGUUCUUCACACAACUGCAUAGAGUCCUGUGAACAUGUCCUUUUUCACACCUGUAUGUGUAGAUGGACAAAUAUUAAAUUUGACUCUGUAAUGAUGAGUGUAUAUGAAAAAGAGCUCAGUUGACUAUGGUAACAUGCAAUAGGAUGAAUUAAAAUAUAUCUUGUCUCAUGUAACCCAUCUUUUUUUUUUUUUUUGUAUUAUAUUUUCUGUAUUUUAGAUUUUUUAUAUAUUCUUUUUCAUCUGUAUUUCUUCCAAACCACAUACAAUUUCAUUCAGGAAAUUUCCAGGGACACUGUUUUCAGUUUUGGCCACCUGUCAAUUAAAUUUACAUUUUUAUUGGAGAUAACUGCUCUACAAAGAAGAGGACAGACAUUUGUGCAGAAACAGAUAUAUAUCACUUUAUUUAAUUUACUGGCUAUGACUUUGUCUUUGCUUUUAAAUGCAAAUCCAUCUCACAUCAAACAACCCUCUACAAACAAGUGGACUGUGCACAAAGAAUGUAAAUGCAUUAAAAACUAAAGGAAAGUGCCAUGACUGAGCAAAAACAAAACCCAUUUUAUUCCUGGGUGUAUUGUCUUUCGGUGGAUGUGCUGACACCAGGUGUUGUCUUUGCUUAAUGCAAGACCCAUGCAGAGGUGUCUGUAGCAAAAGCUGUGACACCUAUCACCAUAUUUCAUUUGUAGCCAGGUGUCUUUCAAUAACCCCGGAGCUAAAUGCAAGCAGAGGACUCAGCAGUGAAAACAAACUUGCACAGAUGGCCGAGAGUGAAGGAAGAAAAAAUAGAUUUCAGGAUGUUGCUGACAGAGCAGACAUAAUUCAUUAAUAUAUAUUGUAUCCUCCCUCUCCUAUAAUUUUCUCUCAGACUAUUCUCAGUGGCAAAAAAAAAAAAAUGAGUAUGUGAACAAAUCAUCUUUCUUUGAACCUCAUGGGUCAAUUAAUUCAAACAAUACAGCUUUCAUUGCUAAAAAAAAAAAAAAAAAAAAAAAAAAAAAAUGGAGGCUGGACUUCUUUGAGUUUCUGUCUGCUUAACAGUGAAAAUGCUCUUUGGCUCCAUUUGUUUGUUGCUUAAUUGGAAAAAAGUUCCAAGGGUUCUUUGUUCACUUUAGUUUUAUGAUAAAAACUGCACGAAUGAUUUUCUUUGUUCCUAGGCAAUUUGUUGCCGUUAAAUAAUUAAACAGACACAUACAUGAAAAAAAUGUAUUUUGCCUGGAGCAUGUCAAAGAUAUCUGAUAGCAGUGAAUGAACAAAAGGCGAGCGGAUGUUUUUGUUGUUGUAAGGCAACAAUUUCUAAUCAGACCAUAACUGUCCUCAGGGAGGUGCUAAAACUAAUGGAAAAAUACUUUGAUAAAGUGAGGGAGAAAUGGGAAUGGCACCCUUUAAAUUUGAUUGCUAGAAGUAACUGAUAACUGAAGCCAUGUGCCAAAAGGAAAGUUCUG
ensembl:lncRNA